rnacentral:rRNA from 1 species
GAUCAAGCUACAAAGGGCGCACGGUGAAUGCCCUGGCACUAGGAGCCGAUGAAGGACGUGAUAAGCUGCGAUAAGCUACAUGUAGGCGCACAUAGCCUGUGAUAUGUAGAUUUCCGAAUGGGGAAACCCAUCUAGUUAUGCUAGAUACUGUAUACUGAAUACAUAGGUAUAUGGAGGUACACCUGGGGAACUGAAACAUCUAAGUACCCAGAGGAAGAGAAAGAAAAUUCGAUUCCCUAAGUAGCGGCGAGCGAAAGGGGAAGAGCCCAAACCAGGAACUUGUUCCUGGGGUUGCGGAUAGAUCAUAACGCUUUGAUUUCUUUAGUUGAAGAGAACUGGAAAGUUCCGUCGUAGAAGGUAAUAACCCUGUAGGCGAAAAGGAAAGAAAAGUAGAUCUACUCCAGAGUACCACGAGACACGUGAAACCUUGUGGGAAGCUGGGAGGACCAUCUCCCAAGGCUAAAUACUACCUAGUGACCGAUAGUGAAGCAGUACCGUGAGGGAAAGGUGAAAAGAACCCCGGAAGGGGAGUGAAAUAGAACUGAAACCGUGUGCCUACAAUCGGUCGGAGCACAUUAAAGUGUGACGGCGUACUUUUUGUAGAACGGGCCAGCGAGUUACGAUAUAUAGCAAGGUUAAGCACUUAUGGUGUGGAGCCGAAGGGAAACCGAGUCUGAAUAGGGCAACUAGUUGUAUAUUGUAGACCCGAAACCGGGUGACCUAUCCAUGGCCAGGAUGAAGCGGAAGUAAAAUUCCGUGGAGGUCCGAACCACGUUGGUGUUGAAAAACCAUGGGAUGAGCUGUGGAUAGCGGAGAAAUUCCAAUCGAACUCGGAGAUAGCUGGUUCUCCUCGAAAUAGCUUUAGGGCUAGCGUCGGGUAAUUGAGUAGUGGAGGUAGAGCACUGAAUGGGCUAGGGGCUGACAACAGUUACUGAACCCUAUCAAACUCCGAAUGCCAUAUACUUGUAUCCCGGCAGUCAGACUACGAAUGAUAAGAUCCGUGGUCAAAAGGGAAACAGCCCAGACCAUCAGCUAAGGUCCCAAAGUGUAAGUUAAGUGGGAAAGGAUGUGGGAUUUCUAAGACAACUAGGAUGUUGGCUUAGAAGCAGCCACUCAUUUAAAGAGUGCGUAAUAGCUCACUAGUCGAGAGAUCCUGCGCCGAAGAUGUAACGGGGCUCAAACUUACCACCGAAGCUAUGGAUGUGUACUUUGUACACGUGGUAGAGGAGCUUUCUGUACAGGUUGAAGUCAUACCGUAAGGAGUGGUGGACAGUACAGAAGUGAGAAUGCUGGCAUAAGUAGCGAAAAACAAGUGAGAAUCUUGUUGACCGAAUAUCUAAGGUUUCCUGGGGAAGGCUCGUCCUCCCAGGGUUAGUCGGGACCUAAGCCGAGGCCGAAAGGCGUAGGUGAUGGACAACUGGUUGAUAUUCCAGUACCACCAUAAUGCGUUUGACAAAUGGGAUGACGCAGGAGGAUAGGAUGUGCGCACUAUUGGAUGUGCGUCUAAGCACUUAGGGUGUUAAGUAGGCAAAUCCGCUUAACAUUAAGCCUGAGGUGUGAUGGGGAGCCUAUUUUGGCGAAGUAUCUGAUUCCACGCUGCCAAGAAAAGUCUCUAUGGAGCAAAGUGGUGCCCGUACCGCAAACCGACACAGGUAGAUGAGGAGAGAAUCCUAAGGUCGUCGGAAGAAUUAUUGCUAAGGAACUCGGCAAAUUGACCCCGUAACUUAGGGAGAAGGGGUGCCUACGAGAGUAGGCCGGAGUGAAUAGGCUCAAGCAACUGUUUAUCAAAAACCCAGGUCUCUGCUAAAGCGUAAGCUGAUGUAUAGGGGCU